UACGUAGGGACCAAGCGUUGUUCGGAUUUACUGGGCGUAAAGGGCGCGUAGGCGGCGUGACAAGUCACUUGUGAAAUCUCCGAGCUUAACUCGGAACGGUCAGCUGAUACUGUUUUGCUAGAGUACAGAAGGGGCAAUCGGAAUUCUUGGUGUAGCGGUGAAAUGCGUAGAUAUCAAGAGGAACACCUGAGGUGAAGACGGGUUGCUGGGCUGAUACUGACGCUGAGGCGCGAAAGCUAGGGUAGCAAACGGG
rnacentral:rRNA from 1 species